rnacentral:rRNA from 1 species
ACUCCUACGGGAGGCAGCAGUGGGGAAUAUUGCAUCAUGGAGGAAACUCUGAUGCAGCAACGCCGCGUGAGUGAUGAAGGUCUUCGGAUUGUAAAGCUCUGUCUUCUGGGACGAUAAUGACGGUACCAGAGGAGGAAGCCACGGCUAACUACCUGCCAGCAGCCGCGGUAAU